rnacentral:rRNA from 1 species
UACGGGAGGCAGCAGUGGGAAAUAUUGCACAAUGGGCGCAAGCCUGAUGCAGCCAUGCCGCGUGUAUGAAAAAGGCCUUCGGGUUGUAAAGUACUUUCAGUCGUGAGGAAGGUGUUAAGGUUAAUAACCUUAGCAAUUGACGUUAGCGACAGAAGAAGCACCGGCUAACUCCGUGCCAGCAGCCGCGGUAAUACGGAGGGUGCGAGCGUUAAUCGGAAUUACUGGGCGUAAAGGGCACGCAGGCGGUUAAUUAAGUUGGAUGUGAAAUCCCCGGGCUUAACCUGGGAAUGGCAUUCAAGACUGGUUAGCUAGAGUCUUGUAGAGGGGGUAGAAUUCCAUGUGUAGCGGUGAAAUGCGUAGAGAUGUGGAGGAAUACCGGUGGCGAAGGCGGCCCCUGGACAAAGACUGACGCUCAUGUGCGAAAGCGUGGGGAGCAAACAGGGAUUAGAUACC